UACAGAGGUCUCAAGCGUUGUUCGGAUUCAUUGGGCGUAAAGGGUGCGUAGGUGGCGCCAUAAGUCGGGUGUGAAAUCUCGGGGCUUAACUCCGAAACUGCAUUCGAUACUGUGGUGCUUGAGGACUGGAGAGGAGACUGGAAUUCAUGGUGUAGCAGUGAAAUGCGUAGAUAUCGAGAGGAACACCAGUGGCGAAGGCGAGUCUCUGGACAUUUCCUGACGCUGAGGCACGAAAGCCAGGGGAGCAAACGGG
rnacentral:rRNA from 1 species